GGAAAGGCGCGCGAUACAGGGUGACAGCCCCGUACACAAAAAUGCACAUGCUGUGAGCUCGAUGAGUAGGGCGGGACACGUGGUAUCCUGUCUGAAUAUGGGGGGACCAUCCUCCAAGGCUAAAUACUCCUGACUGACCGAUAGUGAACCAGUACCGUGAGGGAAAGGCGAAAAGAACCCCGGCGAGGGGAGUGAAAAAGAACCUGAAACCGUGUACGUACAAGCAGUGGGAGCACGCUUAGGCGUGUGACUGCGUACCUUUUGUAUAAUGGGUCAGCGACUUAUAUUCUGUAGCAAGGUUAACCGAAUAGGGGAGCCGAAGGGAAACCGAGUCUUAACUGGGCGUUAAGUUGCAGGGUAUAGACCCGAAACCCGGUGAUCUAGCCAUGGGCAGGUUGAAGGUUGGGUAACACUAACUGGAGGACCGAACCGACUAAUGUUGAAAAAUUAGCGGAUGACUUGUGGCUGGGGGUGAAAGGCCAAUCAAACCGGGAGAUAGCUGGUUCUCCCCGAAAGCUAUUUAGGUAGCGCCUCGUGAAUUCAUCUCCGGGGGUAGAGCACUGUUUCGGCAAGGGGGUCAUCCCGACUUACCAACCCGAUGCAAACUGCGAAUACCGGAGAAUGUUAUCACGGGAGACACACGGCGGGUGCUAACGUCCGUCGUGAAGAGGGAAACAACCCAGACCGCCAGCUAAGGUCCCAAAGUCAUGGUUAAGUGGGAAACGAUGUGGGAAGGCCCAGACAGCCAGGAUGUUGGCUUAGAAGCAGCCAUCAUUUAAAGAAAGCGUAAUAGCUCACUGGUCGAGUCGGCCUGCGCGGAAGAUGUAACGGGGCUAAACCAUGCACCGAAGCUGCGGCAGCGACGCUGAUGCGUUGUUGGGUAGGGGAGCGUUCUGUAAGCCUGCGAAGGUGUGCUGUGAGGCAUGCUGGAGGUAUCAGAAGUGCGAAUGCUGACAUAAGUAACGAUAAAGCGGGUGAAAAGCCCGCUCGCCGGAAGACCAAGGGUUCCUGUCCAACGUUAAUCGGGGCAGGGUGAGUCGACCCCUAAGGCGAGG
rnacentral:rRNA from 1 species